rnacentral:lncRNA from 1 species
ACUGAAGCAAAAUUGAAAUGCCACUGCUCAUGUGACGAUGAAAUUGCUUUGUGUGUGGUACCCUAAAGAGAUCAUUCCUGAGAAGACGGCAGGCAUAUUUUGCAAGUUUAUCUGAUAAGUAUGAGGAUACAGAAUUGUGGAUGACAGAUUCCUUUGGGGACAGGGGAGCAAGAGAAAUGAGAGAAAAGAUGCAAAUUUGGGGUAAUUUUUCAGAUGUUUGAAGAAGAUUAAUGA